rnacentral:rRNA from 1 species
ACAGCAGUAGCCGCGGUAAUACGGAGGGUGCAAGCGUUAAUCGGAAUUACUGGGCGUAAAGCGCACGCAGGCGGUCUGACAAGUCAGAUGUGAAAUCCCCGGGCUUAACCUGGGAACUGCAUUUGAAACUGUCAGGCUGGAGUCUUGUAGAGGGGGGUGGAAUUCCAGGUGUAGCGGUGAAAUGCGUAGAGAUCUGGAGGAAUACCGGUGGCGAAGGCGGCCCCCUGGACAAAGACUGACGCUCAGGUGCGAAAGCGUGGGGAGCAAACAGGAUUAGAUACCCCUGUAGUCCCUGUCUCUUAUAA